rnacentral:rRNA from 1 species
UACGGAGGGUGCAAGCGUUGUCCGGAUUUAUUGGGUUUAAAGGGUGCGUAGGCGGUUCUUUAAGUCCGGGGUGAAAGCCCACUGCUCAACAGUGGAACUGCCCUGGAAACUGGAGAACUUGAGUACAGACGAGGGCGGCGGAAUGGAUGGUGUAGCGGUGAAAUGCAUAGAUACCAUCCAGAACCCCGAUUGCGAAGGCAGCUCGCUUGGCCGAAACUGACGCUGAGGCACGAAAGCGUGGGGAGCGAACAGG